rnacentral:rRNA from 1 species
GACGAACGCUGGCGGCGUGCCUAAUACAUGCAAGUCGAACGGUCUUUUCUAUGGAAGCUUGCUUCCGCUGAGAAGGUAGUGGCGAACGGGUGAGUAACACGUGGGUAACCUGCCCAUAAGAGGGGGAUAACAUCCGGAAACGGGUGCUAAUACCGCAUAGUUUUCUUGAUCGCAUGAUCGAGAAAGGAAAGACGGCCUUUGUGCUGUUGCUUAUGGAUGGACCCGCGGCGUAUUAGUUAGUUGGUGAGGUAACGGCUCACCAAGACGACGAUACGUAGCCGACCUGAGAGGGUGAUCGGCCACAUUGGGACUGAGACACGGCCCAAACUCCUACGGGAGGCAGCAGUAGGGAAUCUUCCGCAAUGGACGAAAGUCUGACGGAGCAACGCCGCGUGAGUGAAGAAGGUUUUCGGAUCGUAAAACUCUGUUGUCAGAGGAGAACAAGUCGGAGAGUAACUGCUCCGGCCUUGACGGAAUCUGACCAGAAAGCCACGGCUAACUACGUGCCAGCCGCCGCAGUAAGAC